UACAGAGGUCCCAAGCGUUGUUCGGGAUUCAUUGGGCGUAAAGGGUGCGUAGGCGGCGCGGUAAGUCGGGUGUGAAAUCUCGGAGCUUAACUCCGAAACUGCAUUCGAUACUGCCGUGCUUGAGGACUGGAGAGGAGACUGGAAUUUACGGUGUAGCGGUGAAAUGCGUAGAUAUCGUAAGGAAGACCAGUGGCGAAGGCGGGUCUCUGGACAGUUCCUGACGUGAGGCACGAAGGCCAGGGGGAGCAAACGGG
rnacentral:rRNA from 1 species